CGAGUAAGCCAGACAAUCGCUGCUGUGGUAACACAGGAGAGGAAAGUCCGAGCUCCAUAGGACAGGGUGCUGGGUAAUACCCAGUCAGGGUGACUUGAAGGAAAGUGCAACAGAGAUAUACCGCCGAAACUUUGUUUCGGUAAGGGUGGAAAGGCGAGGUAAGAGCUCACCAGCGCAUUGGCGACUUUGCGGCUAUGUAAACCCCAUCUGGAGCAAGAUCGAAUAGAGAAGCAUUAAAGGGGUGGUCCGCUCCGCUUCCGGGUAGUAUCGCUUGAGCCUAUUGGUAACAAUGGGCCUAGAUAGAUGAUUGUCUAAUACAGAACUCGGCUUAUAGGUUUGGUCGCAUA
rnacentral:RNase_P_RNA from 1 species